rnacentral:rRNA from 1 species
UACGGGGGGGGCAAGCGUUGUUCGGAAUUACUGGGUGUAAAGGGCUCGUAGGCGGCCAACUAAGUCAGACGUGAAAUCCCUCGGCUUAACCGGGGAACUGCGUCUGAUACUGGAUGGCUAGAGAUUGGGAGAGGGAUGCGGAAUUCCAGGUGUAGCGGUGAAAUGCGUAGAUAUCUGGAGGAACACCGGUGGCGAAGGCGGCAUCCUGGACCAACACUGACGCUGAGGAGCGAAAGCCAGGGGAGCAAACGGG